rnacentral:rRNA from 1 species
CCUCGGGGGGCUGCAGUGGGGAAUAUUGGACAAUGGGCGAAAGCCUGAUCCAGCCAUGCCGCGUGUGUGAAGAAGGCCUUCGGGUUGUAAAGCACUUUCAGUGGGGAAGAAAGCCUUGGGGCUAAUACCCUCGAGGAAGGACAUCACCCACAGAAGAAGCACCGGCUAACUCCGUGCCAGCAGCCGCGGUAAUACGGAGGGUGCGAGCGUUAAUCGGAAUUACUGGGCGUAAAGCGCGCGUAGGCGGUCUGAUAAGCCGGUUGUGAAAGCCCCGGGCUCAACCUGGGAACGGCAUCCGGAACUGUCAGGCUAGAGUGCAGGAGAGGAAGGUAGAAUUCCCGGUGUAGCGGUGAAAUGCGUAGAGAUCGGGAGGAAUACCAGUGGCGAAGGCGGCCUUCUGGACUGACACUGACGCUGAGGUGCGAAAGCGUGGGUAGCAAACAGGAUUAGAUACCCUUGUAGUC